rnacentral:rRNA from 1 species
UACGUAGGGUGCAAGCGUUAAUCGGAAUUACUGGGCGUAAAGCGUGCGCAGGCGGUGAUGUAAGACAGUUGUGAAAUCCCCGGGCUCAACCUGGGAACUGCAUCUGUGACUGCAUCGCUGGAGUGCGGCAGAGGGGGAUGGAAUUCCGCGUGUAGCAGUGAAAUGCGUAGAGAUCCGGAAGAACACCAGUGGCGAAGGCGGCCCGCUGGGCAGUGGCUGACGCUGAGGCGCGACAGCGUGGGGAGCAAACAGG